CAUGGCUGUCGUCAGCUCGUGUCGUGAGAUGUUGGGUUAAGUCCCGCAACGAGCGCAACCCUGCCUUUAGUUGCCAGCAGUUCGGCUGGGCACUCUAAAGGGACUGCCGGUGUUAAACCGGAGGAAGGUGGGGAUGACGUCAAGUCCUCAUGGCCUUUAUGACCAGGGCUACACACGUACUACAAUGGCCGAUACAAAGGGCAGCGACACUGCGAGGUGAAGCCAAUCCCGUAAAAUCGGUCUCAGUCCGGAUUGGAGUCUGCAACUCGACUCCAUGAAGUUGGAAUCGCUAGUAAUCGUGGAUCAGCAUGCCACGGUGAGUACGUUCCCGGGCCUU
rnacentral:rRNA from 1 species